rnacentral:rRNA from 1 species
GACGAACGCUGGCGGCGUGCCUAAUACAUGCAAGUAGAACGCUGAAGGAGGAGCUUGCUUCUCUGGAUGAGUUGCGAACGGGUGAGUAACGCGUAGGUAACCUGCCUGGUAGCGGGGGAUAACUAUUGGAAACGAUAGCUAAUACCGCAUAAGAGUAGAUGUUGCAUGACAUUUGCUUAAAAGGUGCAAUUGCAUCACUACCAGAUGGACCUGCGUUGUAUUAGCUAGUUGGUGAGGUAACGGCUCACCAAGGCGACGAUACAUAGCCGACCUGAGAGGGUGAUCGGCCACACUGGGACUGAGACACGGCCCAGACUCCUACGGGAGGCAGCAGUAGGGAAUCUUCGGCAAUGGACGGAAGUCUGACCGAGCAACGCCGCGUGAGUGAAGAAGGUUUUCGGAUCGUAAAGCUCUGUUGUAAGAGAAGAACGAGUGUGAGAGUGGAAAGUUCACACUGUGAC